UACAGAGGGGGCAAGCGUUGUUCGGAAUUACUGGGCGUAAAGGCGCGUAGGCGGCCUGCUAAGUCGAACGUGAAAUCCCCGGGCUCAACCCGGGAACUGCGUCCGAUACUGGCAGGCUUGAAUUCGGGAGAGGGAUGUGGAAUUCCAGGUGUAGCGGUGAAAUGCGUAGAUAUCUGGAGGAACACCGGUGGCGAAGGCGGCAUCCUGGACCGAUAUUGACGCUGGACUGCGCGAAAGCCAGGGGAGCAAAGCGGG
rnacentral:rRNA from 1 species